AACAGACAAGACACCAACGAAGACAACAUCAACCAUGACAAUGCCAACUGAUGAAACAAGACCGGCGAGGCAGCAGGCCACGGUGAGGUUCCUGGUGAAGAUCAUCUUCCUGAUGUGUUGUGCAGACUGGAGGCCUUUGACUCACAGAAGGAGAUUUUUGGAAUAUCAAAACUACAUGGUGUCGAAACACAGGAAAUCACGAUCUGCUGCUGCAAUAUGAGUGCCUGGUUUCUACGUGAAG